rnacentral:rRNA from 1 species
GAUGAACGCUGGCGGCGCGCUUAACACAUGCAAGUCGAGCGAGUGAGUUCUUCGGAACGAUCUAGCGGCGGACGGGUGAGUAACACGUGGGCAACCUGCCUCAUAGAGGGGAAUAGCCUCCCGAAAGGGAGAUUAAUACCGCAUAACAUCGUUGAAGGGCAUCCUUCGAUGAUCAAAGGAGCAAUCCGCUAUGAGAUGGGCCCACGGCGCAUUAGCUAGUUGGUGAGGUAACGGCUCACCAAGGCGACGAUGCGUAGCCGACCUGAGAGGGUGAUCGGCCACAUUGGGACUGAGACACGGCCCAGACUCCUACGGGAGGCAGCAGUGGGGAAUAUUGCACAAUGGGGGAAACCCUGAUGCAGCAACGCCGCGUGAGUGAUGACGGCCUUCGGGUUGUAAAGCUCUGUCUUUGGGGACGAUAAUGACGGUACCCAAGGAGGAAGUCACGGCUAACUACGUGCCAGCAGCCGCAGUAA